UUUCCUGACCUGCCCUAGCUGUAAGAAUGGCGUAGCUGGAAUCCCGCCGGUGAACACAACGGGGGGACACGCGGGGGCUGCCUGAGGGAGGGGGACACAAUUGGAACAGAUAUUUACACGGAUAAAUCUUUAACUUAAUUUUUAAGUUCAAGACCAAAUCCCCCAAUAAAAGUGUUUCUUGGGUUGUUAUAGUUAGUGAGGAGUAAAAGCUCACCAAGGCGGUAAAUAAUAGCCGACCCGAGGUGCUAUUGGCCCAAUGGGGAAUAAAACCGGCCCCAUAUCUCCGGGGGGGAGCAGCUGUAGGGAAUCUUUCGGCAAAUGGAAGAUAUUUCGAACCGAGCAACGCCGGGGGAAUGAAGAAGGUUUUCGGAUCGUAAAACUUUGUUGGUAAAGAAGAACGUUGGUGAGAGUGGAAAGCUCAUCAAGUGACGGUAACUACCCAGAAAGGGACGGCUAACUACGUGCCAGCAGCCGCGGUAAUACGUAGGUCCCGAGCGUUGUCCGGAUUUAUUGGGCGUAAAGCGAGCGCAGGUGGUUUAUUAAGUCUGGUGUAAAAGGCAGUGGCUCAACCAUUGUAUGCAUUGGAAACUGGUAGACUUGAGUGCAGGAGAGGAGAGUGGAAUUCCAUGUGUAGCGGUGAAAUGCGUAGAUAUAUGGAGGAACACCGGUGGCGAAAGCGGCUCUCUGGCCUGUAACUGACACUGAGGCUCGAAAGCGUGGGGAGCAAACAGGAUUAGAUACCCUGGUAGUCCACGCCGUAAACGAUGAGUGCUAGAUGUAGGGAGCUAUAAGUUCCUGUAUCGCAGCUAACGCAAUAAGCACUCCGCCUGGGGAGUACGACCGCAAGGUUGAAACUCAAAGGAAUUGACGGGGGCCCGCACAAGCGGUGGAGCAUGUGGUUUAAUUCGAAGCAACGCGAAGAACCUUACCAGGUCUUGACAUACUCGUGCUAUUCCUAGAGAUAGGAAGUUCCUUCGGGACACGGGAUACAGUGGUGCAUGGUUGUCGUCAGCUCGUGUCGUGAGAUGUUGGGUUAAGUCCCGCAACGAGCGCAACCCCUAUUGUUAGUUGCCAUCAUUAAGUUGGGCACUCUAACGAGACUGCCGGUGAUAAACCGGAGGAAGGUGGGGAUGACGUCAAAUCAUCAUGCCCCUUAUGACCUGGGCUACACACGUGCUACAAUGGAUGGUACAACGAGUCGCGAGACAGUGAUGUUUAGCUAAUCUCUUAAAACCAUUCUCAGUUCGGAUUUAGGCUGCAACUCGCCUACAUGAAGUCGGAAUCGCUAGUAAUCGCGGAUCAGCACGCCGCGGUGAAUACGUUCCCGGGCCUUGUACACACCGCCCGUCACACCACGGGAGUUGGGAGUACCCGAAGUAGGUUGCCUAACCGCAAGGAGGGCGCUUCCUAAGGUAAGACCGGAUGACCUGGCGGUGCAAAGGUUC
rnacentral:rRNA from 1 species